AGAGUUUGAUCAUGGCUCAGAGCGAACGCUGGCGGCAGGCCUAACACAUGCAAGUCGAGCGGCCGUAGCAAUACGGCAGCGGCAGACGGGAUAGUAACACGUGGGAACGUACCCUUCAGUUCGGAACAACCCAGGGAAACUUGGGCUAAUACCGAAUACGUCCGUAAGGAGAAAGAUUUAUCGCUGAAGGAUCGGCCCGCGUCUGAUUAGCUAGUUGGUGGGGUAAUGGCCCACCAAGGCGACGAUCAGUAGCUGGUCUGAGAGGAUGAUCAGCAUCACUGGGACUGAGACACGGCCCAGACUCCUACGGGAGGCAGCAGUGGGGAAUAUUGGACAAUGGGCGCAAGCCUGAUCCAGCCAUGCCGCGUGGAUGAUGAAGGCCCUAGGGUUGUAAAGUCCUUUCGGCGGGGAAGAUAAUGACGGUACCCGCAGAAGAAGCCCCGGCUAACUUCGUGCCAGCAGCCGCGGUA
rnacentral:rRNA from 1 species